rnacentral:rRNA from 1 species
AUUGAACGCUGGCGGCAUGCCUUACACAUGCAAGUCGAACGGCAGCACGGGAGCAAUCCUGGUGGCGAGUGGCGAACGGGUGAGUAAUAUAUCGGAACGUGCCCAGUCGUGGGGAUAACGUAGCGAAAGCUACGCUAAUACCGCAUACGAUCUAUGGAUGAAAGCGGGGGAUCGCAAGACCUCGCGCGAUUGGAGCGGCCGAUAUCAGAUUAGGUAGUUGGUGAGGUAAAGGCUCACAACGCCGACGAUCUGUAGCUGGUCUGAGAGGACGACCAGCCACAC